rnacentral:rRNA from 1 species
GACGAACGCUGGCGGCGUGCUUAACACAUGCAAGUCGAACGGAAAAGCCCCUUUGGGGGUACUCGAGUGGCGAACGGGUGAGUAACACGUGAGUAACCUGCCCUUGACUUCGGGAUAACUUCAGGAAACUGGGGCUAAUACCGGAUAGGAAUCCUUGCUGCAUGGUGGGGGUUGGAAAGCUUCGGCGGUUUUGGAUGGACUCGCGGCUUAUCAGCUUGUUGGUGGGGUAGUGGCUUACCAAGGCUUUGACGGGUAGCCGGCCUGAGAGGGCGACCGGCCACAUUGGGACUGAGAUACGGCCCAGACUCCUACGGGAGGCAGCAGUGGGGAAUAUUGCACAAUGGGCGGAAGCCUGAUGCAGCAACGCCGCGUGCGGGAUGACGGCCUUCGGGUUGUAAACCGCUUUCAGCAGGGGCGAAGCUUGUGGUGACGGUACCUGCAGAAGAAGCACCGGCUAACUACGUG